GUUUCUGCCGCCGCCGCCCGCUUCCGGUCAGCUCCCGGCUCCCGGCGGGCGUGGGCUUUCUGGGGGUGUCAGGAUCCGGGGCUGUGUCUCCCGGGUGUCCUGGAGACCGCUGGGCCCCACCGCUUGGUGAUGCUGAGCUCCGCGGUGGGCAGUGCUCGUGCUAAGUGCCAGCUGUCCCUAGGUACCCGGGCUGUCACCUCCCGGGUUAGCCUCCCGCGCUAAGCGUUUCCCGGACUCCUUCCCGCUGACCCCGCACCACACCGGCUGUCGCCUCCCGGCGUCUCAGUGCGUACCCCCACUCACUUCCACCCCUUCUCUGAGGUGUCGCCGUGCCCAGAGCCCUGCGCCUGUUGGUGGCGCUGUCAGAGCCCCCUGUGGAUGUGUGACCGACCCAUCACUGAGACGCCAGGGCCUGCACCUGUCCUCCGUCCCCCACCUGCACCCUUUGGGAUGUGAGGCUUCCCAGGCUGAAGAGGACCUUUUCUCGGGGGUCCUGCUGGGGCGACAACCCACUUGUGUAGUGUUGGUGCCCCGAGGGCUAAGGUUUCUGUCUGCUUUGGUGUCUGCGUUGGCAUCCCACCUGGGUUCCAGGUGUCCCAUCCCCGCUGUGUGUGUCCCCACCGAGGUUGGGGACCCCCUUGGGGUGGGGGACCCUGACUAAUGCCUCUCACCCUCUAUUUUUUUUUUUUUUGGUAUCAGGGAUCGAACUUGGGUCCUUUCGCUUGCGCAGCAGGUGGCAAAGCCACUGAGCUAAAUCCCCCGGCCCCUCACCAUCUUUCUUGUGAUUUGUCACCAUGUGAGACUAAGGCGAAGGCUUCUUGUGGCUCGUGCAGGGUGCCUGAGACUCGGGGCGGGGGACCUCACCCUAGUCCCCUUCCCUAGAGUGUAACUUUCCAGGGUGGGGUUCGCAGCCCCCAGCUUGGUGUUGGGCCUACCCAGGUCCUGACCCAUGCUCCUCCUGGAACUGUGAGUCCUCUGUGUGGCAGCGCUGGCAGCCUCCCGGACAUCAAGGCUCCACGUCCCACAGUGCUCCCAAGCUCCCUGCGAAGAGCAUGAGCCGCUACCACAGUCCAGGACCCUGUGUGCGCACAAGACUGCCCCAGUGUGAGGGCCCAAGCCUGGUCUCCCUCACUGAGUCUGUGCUCAGGCUCCUGUCCCCUGACGUGAAGCUCUGCAGGCUCUUUGCUGGCGCUGGCUCUGUGGGGUUGAUGUGCUGCUCAGACACCUGCCCCUUUAGUGUGCCUCCUUCUUGAACACAGGUCCUCAUGGCAGAGCCUCCUGGGCCAGGGGUCCCCGAUCUCUGUGCUGGGUGGGCCCCCUUGCUGUCCAAGCACACUUGCUUCUGUGGAGGCCCUGCCUGCCUCUAGAGGCCUUGCAGUGGUUACUUCCCCAGGAGGGGCCUGGUGGGGUUCUAGGCCCAUGGGCUCUUCCUUGGUGCAGCGCCGGCCUCCUUCCCCUGCCUCUGCCGGGGUCUGAGGUACCGGUGCCCUCUCCGUGUGGGGCGUGAUGGAGCAGGCGCUGUUGCCUCCACUGCGGCUGAGGCACCAGGUCCCCGCGGCACUCAUCCUUCUCUGUGGAGCUGUUGUGUUUCCCACCAGGAUGCUCCUUGCUGGUCAAGCUAUGCCCACUUUGGUAUCUGGAGUGUCGCCCCAGGACCUUCCUCUUCUGUGGCACCUUGGGCCUGACUCCUUCGAGAGUUCUUGCUGCCACAGGACACUCGCCUCCUCCCCAGUGCUGGGGUCCCAGUUCCUGCGGGGAGGGGGCUUGCUGAGGCAUCAUCCCGAGUGUAGAGUGCUGGGUUCAGGGCGCAGCCUGAGGGCCGUGUUCUGGGCUGGAGUGCCUGCCAGGGGCUCUCUGUCGGGCUCUUGGGGAGAGAGGGAGGGUGAGCUCUGUCCCUGCUGUGCGAAGAGGCUUUCUUUGUUGGCCAGGUCCCUGUACCCCUCAUGCUGGUGUCCAGGUCCCUGGCUGAGCUCCCCGCCUCAGAGGUGGCCGCCCCAGCCAUUUGGAGUCCACUGUGGAACUGUCUCCUGGGUCCUUCACUGCUUGCUGUGCCCCCUGGAGGCGCCCAUGUGUGAUGUGCCAGCUGCCUGGGCUGAGGGCACUGGUCUUUGUCUUGAUGGGCCGUUUGCUGAGGAAGGCUGAGCCCCUGAGUCUUAUACCAGCCCUGCCUACCUGCUUCCACCCAGAACAGGGACCUGUUCCUCCCAGGCCUCCUGUCCCGAAGCCUCCUACCCAGCCCCACGUGGCUGUUAGUAAGAAGUUACAGUGAGCCGGAAAAUCUCAGCUUCUGCAUCUCGAGCGUGAGCAGUGGCCGUGUUUUGUGGAUCACAGUGGUUCUCUUCAGGGGUCCCCUCCUCGUCUGCAAGGGUCACCUUGGUUUGUCUGUUAAGGGUCUGAGUCUUGCGUGUGGGCGGUCUCUGCUUUGUGGUGGGGGCUAGCCUGGGCACCUGCCCGGGGGCAGUGGAAGCCCCCAGGUCGCAGAACCCUGCUUUUCGGGGUGCAGCUUCUGCCCACAGCCCAAGCCCUCCGCACAGCCCAGCCCCUUGCUAGGUUCCCUGCUCACAGUGUCAGGCCUGGUGGGGUGGCUUCCCUUGACCGCAGUCCUCUAGGCUGCGUACAGCUUCCUUCAGGGCAGAGAUGUUUUGGGUGCCUGCCCUAUAGCUUAGGUUUCUCUGAGUGAGUGUAACUUGCCAGUACAUUUGAUACGGAAUUGUCUCACGUGUGCAGCUCCCAGCUAAGGUACCUUUCCAGCCUCUUGUCUUUGAAAGAUUUCUGUCUUCCCCUGGUCCUCCCGGAAGACUGCCUCCGGCCACCCAUCUCCAACCCUCCUGCAGCUGGGCUCGGGGGUGGGAGUGCGAUCCUUUUGGGUCGAGGAUUCUGUUGUGCAUAGACUUGGAGGCCCUGGCCCUCCGGUUGGGGCCCACCUGGCCGCAGUGGGUCCAGCCCUCCAUGGCCCUGGGCAGUGCUUGUCGCCCUCUUCCACCUCCCCAGCUCACAUGUGUGAACGCGCGCGGUGUCUGUGAGGUACCGGUGCCGGCUUCUCCUGCCGUGUCUGAAGUGACCGUGUGACUGGCCCCGCUCUGAAAAUUCCUUUGAGUGUGGACUGGGGAAAAGAGGCGGCGUAUUCUAGGAGCUUCCCACUUCCUGGGUGGGAGGCCCACUCGAAGACUCCACCGGUCUUUCCUUGGAAACCCAGCACCCUCCUGGUCCUGGUCCCUCCCACCUGCGCCGCCCCAGGUCCGGAACAACUGGAGAGUUGGUAACGCCUCGCCUGCCUCUCUCCUCCCCUCCCGUCCCCGCAGUGUCCCCAGGAGAGUAUGAAGAGAGCGCGUCCGUAGGGCAGGAAGAUGGCGGACAAGCGCAAACUCCAAGGUGAGAUUGAUCGCUGCCUGAAGAAGGUGUCCGAGGGCGUGGAGCAGUUUGAGGACAUUUGGCAGAAGCUCCACAAUGCAGCCAAUGCGAACCAGAAGGAGAAGUAUGAGGCUGACCUGAAGAAGGAAAUUAAGAAGCUACAAAGGCUGAGGGACCAGAUCAAGACAUGGGUCGCCUCCAAUGAGAUCAAGGACAAGCGGCAGCUCAUAGACAACCGAAAACUCAUCGAGACGAGCCCCCUGCCAACUGCACUCUCCACAGCAAAUGGAACGGUUCAAAGUUGUGGAGCGAGAGACCAAGACCAAAGCUUACAGCAAGGAGGGCCUGGGUCUGGCGCAGAAGGUGGACCCUGCCCAGAAGGAGAAGGGAAGAGGUUGGCCAGUGGCUCACGAACACCAUCGACACCCUAAACAUGCAGGUGGACCAGUUUGAGAGCGAGGUGGAGUCUCUGUCAGUGCAGACACGCAAGAAGAAGGGUGACAAGGAUAAGCAGGACCGGAUUGAGGGCCUGAAGCGUCACAUCGAGAAGCACCGCUACCACGUGCGCAUGCUGGAGACCAUCCUGCGCAUGCUGGACAACGACUCCAUCCCUCGUGGACGCCAUCCGCAAGAUCAAGGAUGACGUCGAGUACUACGUCGACUCCUCUCAGGACCCUGACUUCGAGGAGAAUGAGUUUCUCUACGAUGACCUGGACCUCGAGGACAUUCCACAGGCGCUGGUCGCCACCCUCCCCCCAGCCACAGCCACAUGGAGGACGAGAUCUUCAAUCAGUCCAGCAGCACGCCCACGUCCACCACCUCCAGCUCUCCCAUCCCGCCCAGCCCAGCCAACUGCACCACGGAGAACUCUGAAGAUGAUAAGAAGAGGGGCCGCUCCACCGACAGUGAGGUCAGCCAGUCUCCAGCCAAAAAUGGCUCCAAGCCUGUCCACAGCAGCCAGCACCCCCAGCCCCCAGCCGUGCCGCCUCCUACCCCUCGGGGCCCCCACCUGCCACCUCUGCCUUGAGUGCUGCCCCUGGCAGCAAUGGGGC
ensembl:lncRNA